rnacentral:rRNA from 1 species
AGGGCACCACCAGGAGUGGAGCCUGCGGCUUAAUUUGACUCAACACGGGGAAACUCACCCGGCCCGGACACCGUAAGGAUUGACAGAUUGAUAGCUUUUUCAUGAAUCGGUGGAUGGUGUCGCAUGGCCGUUCUUAGUUCGUGGAGGGAUUUGUCUGGUUUAUUCCGAUAGGCCUGGAGACUCUAGCCUACUAAAUAGGUCGCACGUUGUCUCUGUGGGUGGGACUUCUUACAGGGAUUUUCGGAGUUCAGCCGCACGAAAUUGAGCAAUACCAGGUCUGUGAUGCCCUUAGAUGUCCGGGGCUGCACGCGCGCUACACUGGAUGAAUCUCCGUGCUUGCCCUUCCUCGAAAGGGGUUGGUUAACCCUUGACAAGUUGCAGUGCUUGGGAUUGGAAAUUGCAAUUAUUUUCCAUGAACGAAUACUUCCUAGUAAGUGCGAGUGAUCAGCUCGCGUUGAUUACCUCCCCGCCCUUUGCACACACCGCCCGUGGCUGCCCGGGACUGAGCCAUUUCAAGAA